AAAACUUUUAACAAUGGAUCUCUUGGUUCUCGUAUCGAUGAAGAACGCAGCGA
rnacentral:rRNA from 1 species